GACGAACGCUGGCGGCGUGCCUAACACAUGCAAGUGGAGCGACGAACCAGGCUUCGGCCUGGGGCAAAGCCGCGAACGGGUGAGUAACACGCGGGUAACCUGCCCCGAUGAUUGGGACAACCCGAGGAAACUCGGGCUAAUACCGAAUGUGCCCUCCGACCGCAAGGUCACUGGGGAAAGGAAGCUUCGGCCUCCGCAUCGGGAUGGGCCCGCGGCCCAUUAGCUUGUUGGUGAGGUAACGGCUCACCAAGGCGACGAUGGGUAGCUGGUCUGGGAGGACGAUCAGCCACACUGGGACUGAGACACGGCCCAGACUCCUACGGGAGGCAGCAGUGGGGAAUCUUGCGCAAUGCGCGAAAGCGUGACGCAGCAACGCCGCGUGGGGAAGACGGCCUCGG
rnacentral:rRNA from 1 species